CGGGGGGAGCAAGCGUUGUUCGGAUUUACUGGGCGUAAAGGGCGCGUAGGCGGCGCAACAAGUCACUUGUGAAAUCUCCGGGCUUAACCCGGAGCGGCCAAGUGAUACUGUCGUGCUAGAGUGCGGAAGGGGCUACUGGAAUUCUCGGUGUAGCGGUGAAAUGCGUAGAUAUCGAGAGGAACACCUGCGGCGAAGGCGGGUAGCUGGGCCGACACUGACGCUGAGGCGCGAAAGCCAGGGGAGCGAACGGGAUUAGAUACCCCGGUAGUCCUGGCCUUAAACGAUGGAUACUUGGUGUCCGGGGUUACAUAGUCCCCGGGUGCCGGCGCUAACGCAUUAAGUAUCCCGCCUGGGGAGUACGGUCGCAAGGCUG
rnacentral:rRNA from 1 species